rnacentral:rRNA from 1 species
UACGUAGGGGGCUAGCGUUGUCCGGAAUCAUUGGGCGUAAGCGCGUGUAGGCGGUCCGGUAAGUCCGCUGUGAAAGUCGGGGGCUCAACCUCGGAUGCCGGUGGAUACUGUCGGGCUUGCAUUCGAUACGGGCAGGCUAGAGUUCGGGUAGGGGAGACUGGAAUUCCUGGUGGUAGCGGUGAAAUGCGCAGAGUAUCAGGAGGAACAUCCGUGGCGAAGGCGGGUCUCUGGGC